rnacentral:lncRNA from 14 species
UGCACUUCAGUGAUUGUAUUGCCCAGCGGGUGGGUGCAUAGGGCAUGCAGCUCACCCUGCAGCAUCGGCACCCACAGGCUGACAGCCUUUCCCUUCACCAGGAGGAAGAGCUUGUCCGUGAGAGCCGCUUUUACUUGCGAGGCUAUGGGCUGAGCCACUGCCUGCAGCCGAAGGAUGGGGCUGGGGAGGGCCCCAGCAUCUACAGCCCCCCCCCAGCCGGGAUGCUGCUGCGGGAAGGGGAGAGCCUCCACCGGCGCUACAUCGACCGGGCCAAGCGCAUCGAUACCAUCUCCAGAGCCGUCUUCCCCUUCACCUUCCUGGUCUUCAAUAUCUUCUACUGGGUCGUCUACAAAGUGCUGCGCUCAGAGGACAUCCACUCGGUGCCCUGAGGGCUGGAAAAGCAGGACUGCCUCUGUCUGCCCCCUCAGUGCACAUGGGUGCCACGAGCUCAGCCAGAACCAUGUUUCCCUCUGUCCUGAAGCAGUGGCUGGGCCUCAGAGCCUGGACAUAUGGCAGCCCCCAUGUCCCUUUGGAUGCUGGGGCACUGAGGAGGCGGGGACAGCAACCCCAGGUUGGAAAGAGAGACCCCUCUUGCCCCCUGCAUGGCAUCAACUCUGGGCACCCAGGGAUGCUGUGCUGCUGGGGAGCCUGAGGUACCCAGGGAUGCUGUGCUGCUGGGAGCCUCAGGUACCCAGGGAUGCUGUGCUGCUGGGGAGCCUCAGGUACCCAGGGAUGCUGUGCUGCUAUGGUACAGGGGAGCUCCUGAUACUCUGGGAUGCUGCACAGCUGGUGGCCAGCAAACACCACCUUCCAAUCAAACACCCUCCACCUCUUCCAUGUCAGGCUGCUGCUUCUCCAGGCUGCAUCACUGGGCCAUGGGCCACGAGCAGCCAGAUGAGAAGCUGCAGCUCUCUGUGGGUUGGAGGAAAAAGUAAGCAGCACUCCUGGACUGUGUGUGGUGUGGCUAUGGCCUCAUAGCCCCCAGUCCCUCAACAGACAGGCCCCCAGCCCCAGCACACAGCAAUGCAGUGGGUCAGGGAUGCUUCCUUCCCUGCAGAGCCCAUGGCAGGGACACUGAGCAGGAGGCUGUUUCUGCUGGGAAAACACCAGCCCUGGGGCAGCAGGAGGGGAGCCCAAGGUCU